AUGCUCUUACUCUCGUGUGAGACCAACACUCUUGCAGAAGGCACGAGUAAACAAAUGUGGGAUACACACAGAGGCACAUUUCAUCAAAAUUCUAAAUGCCGCGUCGCUUCAAAUCUUGCCAUGGCUUUCCUGCGGCCAUUUCAGUUGCUCCAGUGCAUCAAGCCUCCAUGUUUCCUCGACUUUUCACUCUCUUCUCUCGUUGGAACUGCGCAGCGGGCACAGGACACAAACAUUCUUCCUACAAUCUCCCAUGCUGGUGACCCAACUCCUUGCUAUUUUUGGUGGUUUCAUAUCAAUGCACGGGCACUGUGA
rnacentral:rRNA from 1 species